UCCGAUAUGGUGUAGUGGCUAACAUUAUCGCCUCUCACGAACUGGUGUUGCGCGAUAGCCCGGGGUUCGAUUCCCCGUGUCGGAA